rnacentral:rRNA from 1 species
GACGAACGCUGGCGGCGUGCUUAACACAUGCAAGUCGAACGGAAAGGCCCUGCUUUUGUGGGGUGCUCGAGUGGCGAACGGGUGAGUGACACGUGAGUAACCUGCCCUUGACUUUGGGAUAACUUCAGGAAACUGGGGCUAAUACCGGAUAGGAGCUCCUGCUGCAUGGUGGGGGUUGGAAAGUUUCGGCGGUUGGGGAUGGACUCGCGGCUUAUCAGCUUGUUGGUGGGGUAGUGGCUUACCAAGGCUUUGACGGGUAGCCGGCCUGAGAGGGUGACCGGCCACAUUGGGACUGAGAUACGGCCCAGACUCCUACGGGAGGCAGCAGUGGGGAAUAUUGCACAAUGGGCGGAAGCCUGAUGCAGCAACGCCGCGUGCGGGAUGACGGCCUUCGGGUUGUAAACCGCUUUCGCCUGUGACGAAGCGUGAGUGACGGUAAUGGGUAAAGAAGCACCGGCUAACUACGUG